rnacentral:rRNA from 1 species
UACGUAGGGUGCAAGCGUUGUCCGGAAUUAUUGGGCGUAAAGAGCUCGUAGGCGGCCUGUCGCGUCGGCUGUGAAAACCCGGGGCUCAACCCCGGGCCUGCAGUCGAUACGGGCAGGCUAGAGUUCGGCAGGGGAGACUGGAAUUCCUGGUGUAGCGGUGAAAUGCGCAGAUAUCAGGAAGAACACCCGUGGCGAAAGCGGCUCUCUGGAACGGUACUGACGCUGAGACGCGAAAGCGUGGGGAGCGAACAGG